CAAGUCUUCUUUCAUCAUUUGCUCACUUCAACACCUAGAAAAAUAAGAACUUGGGAGCUCCAUUUUUGCCACUGUUUUCGGCCAAGAACAAGAGAAAACCAAGAUCAUUUCAAGCCUCCCUAAAAAUAAUUCUUUGAUACAAACCCACUAUAUUGAAGUCCCUAAGUAGCAUGGAAGUAUUGUUUGGGUCAUCCAACCAUUAGUUGUGCCUAUUUGCAAACCCUAGCCUAUUGGUGGAGGUGAAGAACAAAGACCUUGGGGAGCCCGAGGCGUAGAUUUGGAUUAGCUUUAGAUUGGCUUGCUUGGAGUGCGUACGAGGUACAGACGCACAGUUUGGUGAUCCACCGGUUUAGGACACCCCCUUUUUGCUGUUGGAGUGCUCUUCUCCUUUCAGAGCAUAUCUUUUGGUAUAUAUUUUUGUUCGCCAUGUAUGUAUAUAUAUUCGUUCAGGGGUACGGCGGGGCCCUGUCCCGCCAUAUGAUUCGUUUGGUCUAUUAGAGGUCUGUAGACGUAUUUGUGGGUGUGUGUGCCUACUUAUGUACAGUUAUGUUUAUAUGAUUCUACUCGUUAUGGCAGCCUCG